rnacentral:lncRNA from 1 species
GUGAAUACUUUGUACAAUGAGUCAACUCUGGAUCUGGGAUCCAGUUGCCGGCACCAGUCCCAGGCAAUCCAAUGGACAUGGGCCCAUCGCUAAGACCGUCUCAAUGAUGGGCAAAAGAAGAAAGCUCAGGAAUAUUUAAGUGAAGCUAAUCUGUUCAACCUCUCUUUGUUUAAUCCCUU